AGCAGAGAGUACUUGCAAGGCUCCAGGGGGAAAGGCACUCCAAGUAAAAAGGAUUAUGCUACUUAACAGGCACAUUUUGCACAUUCCAAGAGGCUGGGGGUGAGGAGGGAGCAUUGCUGAGUGCCUCGGUUGCAUGUAUUAUGGCAUAUAAAUGUCACUGUAGUCAGGUUACAGCCGGCAAAGCCUGAAUUAGACCCACAUGCAUUAGCUAUUGGAAUUGUUUGGAGUCCCUGAGCAGAAAAUAAAGUGCUCCCUGGGCAUAUGGAUGUUGGAAACAGUGAUGGGUGAAAUCAGUUGAAGGCUCUGAGUUGGUGGGUGGGAAGGGUCCCUAACCUGUGGCAGAUACAGUUAGGCCUCAGGUGGCACACUUCAGAGGGGGUGUUGCCCCAUCCCAUGACAGGGAAGGCGGACUAGUGUAUUUACAGCGCUCAGCAACUUCAGGAUCUCUUCUCUUCCUAGUGCAGCAAUUUUCUGUAUAUGGUCUCUGGAGCUAGACUGCCUGUAUUUGAAUUAAGGUUUCAUUAUUACAGCUUUUCUAUCUCCGAUAAUGGAACAAUCUAGUUUCUUCAUGUUGGUUUUGAUAAUGUGUUACUUGAACUUGCUCAGCAAAUGAAGCUUGCUUGCUGUCCUCUAGAAACACACUGAAAUGCAACACUUACCUUAACAUCUUUGCCAAAGACUUGAUCAAAAAGACGCAAUGCUCUGUGACCUUGGCGAGUCUUUGAGCCUGUCUCGUUGUAAGAACCAUGUUAAUAAUACUACAGUUGUUGUGAGACUAUAACAGGACUAUAUUUUUUUAAUCUAGAAAAACAAAAUGUCCUCUAAAAGUUGCUGGAAGUCUACUGUCUCUAGAAGUAGGGGAGCCACCCAUACACCUUUGGAGAUUUCCUUUGUAUUGAGAAAAAUACCAGAAUGGACACCUUCAGUAAUGAAAGGUCCUGAUAUGCUCUAUAAGUGAAGAAGUUCAUGGAUGAAGAAGGUCAUGGAUGAUACAGAGAUAGAGCUGGUGAGCCUGGAAGCUUAUUUAGGAGAAGAGGAAAUGAAACUAUGAAAAGGCACAGUACAAUUCCUUUUUUUCUUGGAGGCAAGGCACAAUAUGCAUAUGAAUUAACUCUCUCAUCCUGUCAAAUUAACUGCCUCAAGUACACAUAGAAAAAACAAAUAGACACACUUGGUUAUUUGGAAGAAACAGAAGAAAAAGCCAAGAACGGUUUGCUAGUUUCAACAAUAAAGUCCUAUGCA